GCCUGGGUGGCUCAGCUGGCUAAGCAUCUGACUUCGGCUCAGGUCAUGAUCUCACGGUUUGUGGGUUCAAGCCCCGUGUCAGGCU
rnacentral:tRNA from 1 species